rnacentral:tRNA from 1 species
AUCUAUAUAAUAUAAAAAGUAUAUUUGACUUCCAAUCAUAAAGUCUAUCAUUAAUAGUAUAGAUA